rnacentral:lncRNA from 1 species
AUGUUACGAUGUUACGGGGCUGCAGGAUGGCAGGGGAGGGACAAACGGGGGGAGACUUGGGGGCUGUCUCAGAAUCCCCCAGACAGACUCGGUGUGGAAGGCAAAGCACGGAGGGCGGAGGGUGGGUGGUGUGUCCGAGCAGGUGGUUUGCUGUGGCUGGAGAGUGGGGCAUGGAGGAGCCGGGCCGCGGGAGAGAAGCCGGCAGAGUGGGGCAGGGACCAGCCCCCGGAGGGUGCAGCUGGCCCAGCUGAGGAGCCUCGGUUUCCCUGGAGGGAAGGGGCCACCCUGGAGAUCCUCGAAGACCCUCGGAUAAGCGUGGGAGAAGCACUAGGUAAGACUUGCUCCCCUGCCCCCCCGGAUCUGGCUCCACCGCGGGAACCACAGUGGACAUGGGGAGGCCAUGUAGAGAGGAGGCCUCCACCUCCUAGCACUUUCUCUCUUCCUGGUGUCUCCUGGCCCCUUGGAGCUCCCUGGUCUCUGCUGGUCCCUCCGGCCACUUGUGAGCACGUUCUCCAGGGUGCUUGGGCUCUUCAUGCAUUGGACAUUUUGAGGUUUAGCUCAAUCCCCUUUCCCAAAACUCAUUCUAUAAGUGAUCCCUUCCCUGCAGACACUCCUGCACACACACCCAUUCACACACUUGUGGUCACACACACCCACACACACGUGUGCACUCAUACGUUCAUGCACUCACAUAUGUACUUGCACACAACCACAAUGCACCCAUCCUCGUGCACACACACUCAUUCCCACCAUACCCCCACACACGUGCACUCACAUACUUGGAGAACUCACUCAUGCAUGCACACACAACACCCACGCUCAUACACAUACCUAUGCAUGCAAUCACAGCACACAAUACUCACACAGUCUCCCUUUUCCUCUCCCACCCCCCACCCCCUACCAUCUGUCUUGUUUCCAGACUUCUUUGAAGGAUCAGAACUAACAUGUACUGAGAAUCUUCAGGGGGUCAUACGAUGGGUUCUGGUUCUUUCCACUUCUCCUCAGUGGCAGUCUUCCAGGGUGGAUGUCAUCCCCCAUUGUACAGAUGUGUAA